rnacentral:rRNA from 1 species
UACGAAGGGUGCAAGCGUUACUCGGAAUUACUGGGCGUAAAGCGUGCGUAGGUGGUUUGUUAAGUCUGAUGUGAAAGCCCUGGGCUCAACCUGGGAAUUGCAUUGGAUACUGGCAGGCUAGAGUGCGGUAGAGGAUGGCGGAAUUCCCGGGUGUAGCAGUGAAAUGCGUAGAGAUCGGGAGGAACAUCUGUGGCGAAGGCGGCCAUCUGGACCAGCACUGACACUGAGGCACGAAAGCGUGGGGAGCA